UACGUAGGGGGCAAGCGUUGUUCGGAUUCAUUGGGCGUAAAGGGUGCGUAGGUGGCGUCGUAAGUCGGGUGUGAAAUUUCGGAGCUCAACUCCGAAACUGCAUUCGAUACUGCGGUGCUUGAGGACUGGAGAGGAGACUGGAAUUCCUGGUGUAGCGGUGAAAUGCGUAGAUAUCGAGAGGAACACCUGCGGCGAAGGCGGGUUGCUGGGCUGACACUGACGCUGAACUGCGAAAGCUAGGGGAGCGAACGGG
rnacentral:rRNA from 1 species